GCCAGUGUGUUAAAGUUAUUCUGAUAUUGACUGUAGUUCUGAGCUUUGUCUCUAUCCCACCAAACCACUAACUUCUGGAAAUUACUUGUAGACCAAGAUGGGAGGACUCCGUGUGUGGCUCCGUGACUCUCUUCAUGUGACAAAGAAACUUCCUAAAAUACUAAAAGCUAAAGGAGAUUGUUAUCUAAGCUUGAGAUGGAAGGUUGCCAGCGGAAACUUGGAGAAUCCUGAAUUGAGCCUGUGUUCCCAGUUCCUAGAAACCCUCAAGGUUAUUGGUUUCCUCCUCGCUUAAUAGACCAGUGGAAGAAAUCUACCUCCAGUUCUAUCUUCACAUGAGCAACUGUUUACAGUUUACAAUAUUACUCUGAAAAUCAGUUCUUUUCAAGUUUUAUCUAACACCCACCAGAAGAAACAGAAGAUUAUGAAAAUGGAAUUUGUCAAAGUUCCUCUCCCAACAAUAUGAUAUUUAAUUUUGCUAACAUUUUUUUUUGAACACUUACUAUAUUGCAGACAAUGGUCUAAGUAAAGCAUUUUAUGUGCAUCCUAUCAUGUCAUCAUCACACAGCCCUGUGAGGUAGAUACUAUUAUUAUUAACCACAUUUCACAUUCAAAAAAACUGAGGCUUAGAGAGACUAAGUAAAUUGUCCAAGGUCACACAGCCAUGAAGUGGCAGAGCUGUGGUUAAAACCUAUGUCUGUCUGAUGUUUAAGAUUUUGCUGUUAGCAUUACUUUGAAAUGACAAUAUGAGGGCAUUUUAUGUAUUUUUUUUGCCCCAAUAUGAUCUGCAGAAACUAUGUAUUUUAAGUACUACAUUUCUUUUAUUUACCAAAUUAUUGUCAGAUAAGAAACCGAAAUAAAAGUUUACAGGG
rnacentral:lncRNA from 1 species